rnacentral:tRNA from 1 species
GGGGACGUAGCUCAAUUGGGAGAGCACCGCCUUUGCAAGGCGGGGGUUGCCGGUUCGAGCCCGGUCGUCUCCA